UUGUCCUCGUCAUGUUUCCCGUUGGCGCCGAACCGAUCUUUUGGCUCGAUCUUUGACUGCAAAGGGAAUCCACCGGUAAGGAUGUUUGGUAAAAAUAUAUAUAUAGUUGGUGUGUUUGGGGCGAUAUGGAGCUGACACAUGUGUCACACUUUUAAAGUAAUUCUGAGUUAAAUUAAGUACAACUUGUAUUACAAAGACAAAAUGAAGUAUUGGUAAUGCAAUUGAUGCAUGUUAACACAGGAUCUUUGACAUCUAUCUUCCCAUUAAUUAUGCUUUCAUAUUUACUAGAUUGGCAUACCAUCUGCUGAGAAUUUCCAAAGAAGUUUCUUGGAGUGGACGUAUUGCCGGCACGAGAUUGACAAACUUCUUGGAGAUGACCAUUUCUCUCGCAGUGUCUCUUGACGGCAACAGAAAAAUGUAUCGCUUCAAACGUAGGGGGACAGAUGAAUGCCCAUAUUUUGAAGGGACUUUCAUUGCCAAGGACACAGAUGUUGAAGAAUUUGUGAAACGGGUUAGAGACAAAGUCAAAUCUGCACCUGGACACCCAUCCUGUGGGAAAUCUAACUUCAAAGCAGGGAGGGAGGCUACCAGAAAGUCCGAGCCCAGGCUGGAUGAAGAGGGCAUGAUGACAUCAGUCUGCAGACACUGCAUUCUAUUUAGUGGUCGCAACAUGUUUCGCGGGGAAAUAUUUGCCUACCCUCUCUACCUACAGCACGAUCUUGGAAAAGAACACAAGAUUGAGUUCAUUUGCACUGAUACUGAUACUACCCGUAUGUACAGAGGGUAGUUAAAUCUUUUCUAGAGCUGCAGUAUGUCCUGCAAAUGCGUCCAUUUCUAUCCACUCAACAAAGUGUGAGGUGGAGUGGAGUGGUCGCAACCAGGAAGGGGCAGGUUUGACAGUUGGAGAGGAAGUGGAAGCUGUGAACUCGUACCUCUCUCGUGUCGCAGUGACCACACAAUACAUGCCCAAAGCCAGACGCAAUGACAUGAUAAUAAUUCAUGCUCGGGGAUGGAGGAAGAAGCAGAUCUUGCACAGAUACCUGUCUCAGAGAUUUGUGAAGGUACGUUUUUGUCAUGUAAUUUAAUAGCAUUUUUAAAAUAUACAAUACAACAAUGUACAGAAGUUUUGGCUGCAACCGUUUGAAAAAACAAACAAACAUUAUGUUCAGUGGAAUAAUUCUGGCGGCUAAGAACAGAAUAACUGUCAAAAGACUAAGAAGAGGACUGUUGAGCGAGAAAAGGACAAGCAAACCCUAUUAACACUGCAGACAACAGAAGGGGAAAUGAAGCAGUGGGUGAAGUAAGUUGCAGAGUGGGCUGCAUCAAGUAAGAUUUAUUCUGUAGCUAUCUAAAUUUUAACUUUCAACUGAUAGUCAUUUAAAAAUAAUGGAAAUUGUGUUAAUUGACAAUUGAGUGUUUACAAUAAGGUCCAAAGUCCAUCAACUGACAGGACCAACAGGGACUGCAGUGUGUCAUGGAAGGCCUCGUCCUUAAAAUCAAACAGCGGAAAAUAGAGCUGUACAGAGACAUUGGUGAGUUAUUAUUAUUCAUAUUAAUGUAUUGUUUUGAAAAAUACUUGUACGUGACGUAGUACUUUGUAGCA